GGAUCGGUGGCGCAGGCUGGUAGCGCAUUUGGCUUUUAACCAAAGGGUCGCGGGUUCAAAUCCCGUCCGGUCCA
rnacentral:tRNA from 1 species